CUCUGGCAUGUGCAGUGACUCCCACCUUUCCCUAAUUGGCAAUCCGAGCACACCUGCUCCUGGUUGCCCGUCCGAUAGGUCGUUUGUCAAUGCUUUGUAUUCAUUUGCUAAAUUGCACAGCUUUUCCGUGCACUCCUCUGCUGCACGAUUCCUUGGUGUUUUAGCGAGAAUUAAAGCCUCUGUGACGGUGUGUCACUUCAUUUUUGGUUGUGUUUCCUUGUUUGAUGUUUAUUUCCUGUCAGCGCUGGUAUUUUUGUUCCAUUUCCAUUUCCCUGAGUGCUCGUUUUCCUCACCUGUCCCUGAUUGGCAGCCAGGCACACCCGGUUGCAGUUGCUAAUCAGGCGGCUAUGUAUGCCUGCCUCGCCUGUUCCUCAGUGCUCGAGGAUUAUGUUGGGAUCUCGCAUGGCCGCAGUAGUUGUAACCCCGAGAUGGCGGAACCAGGAUAUCGACGUGAAGGAAUUCGGCUUGGCCCCUUAGUUCCAGUGGAAGGAAUGUUGACUGCUCCAAGAUACCAACACAUUUUGGACAACUCCAUGGGAUGGCACUUCAAGUUCAUAUCUAUCACCUGGACUGGGGGCGUAGCUACUGGACGCACCCAAGUCUGACUGUUUCCACCCGUUAUCAGCUGCAGGUGUACUGCUGACAGACGCCAGUUUUUUCCUCCUGACGUUCCCGCCCGAGACUCACAUGGACAGCUCUUCUAAACUGGCUAUUCAUGACGGGAAGAUUCCGCAGGAUACCUGAGUGUUCACAGAAGACGUGUGGAGAACCAGGUGCACCAUUAUAUUUGACUACAUUAUUAUGGCACUGUACAAAUGUCCGUUAAUGUUCUUUAGCGCUGACUCAUAAAAUACAAAAAAAAAUAAUGACAUGAGCUACAUUUACUGAUUCAAAUAUGUCAACUCAAAUAAAA